rnacentral:rRNA from 1 species
UACGAAGGGGGCUAGCGUUGUUCGGAAUUACUGGGCGUAAAGUGCGCGCGGGCGGCCUUGCAAGUCAGUGGUGAAAUCCCAGAGCUUAACUCCGGAAUUGCCAUUGAAACUGCGAGGCUUCGAGUACGGGAGAGGUGAGUGGAAUUCCCAGUGUAGAGGUGAAGUUCGUAGAUAUUGGGAAGAACACCGGUGGCGAAGGCGCCUCACUGGCCCGUUACUGACGCUCCGGCGCGACAGCGUGGGGAUCAAACAGG